rnacentral:rRNA from 2 species
GCUCUAUAAUGCAAGUCGAGCGAACAGAUGAGAAGCUUGCUUCUCUGAUGUUAGCGGCGGACGGGUGAGUAACACGUGGGUAACCUACCUAUAAGACUGGGAUAACUCCGGGAAACCGGGGCUAAUACCGGAUAAUAUUUUGAACCGCAUGGUUCAAUAGUGAAAGACGGUUUCGGCUGUCACUUAUAGAUGGACCCGCGCCGUAUUAGCUAGUUGGUAAGGUAAUGGCUUACCAAGGCGACGAUACGUAGCCGACCUGAGAGGGUGAUCGGCCACACUGGAACUGAGACACGGUCCAGACUCCUACGGGAGGCAGCAGUAGGGAAUCUUCCGCAAUGGGCGAAAGCCUGACGGAGCAACGCCGCGUGAGUGAUGAAGGUCUUCGGAUCGUAAAACUCUGUUGUUAGGGAAGAACAAAUUUGUUAGUAACUGAACAAGUCUUGACGGUACCUAACCAGAAAGCCACGGCUAACUACGUGCCAGCAGCCGCGGUAAUACGUAGGUGGCAAGCGUUAUCCGGAAUUAUUGGGCGUAAAGCGCGCGUAGGCGGUUUCUUAAGUCUGAUGUGAAAGCCCACGGCUCAACCGUGGAGGGUCAUUGGAAACUGGGAAACUUGAGUGCAGAAGAGGAGAGUGGAAUUCCAUGUGUAGCGGUGAAAUGCGCAGAGAUAUGGAGGAACACCAGUGGCGAAGGCGGCUCUCUGGUCUGUAACUGACGCUGAUGUGCGAAAGCGUGGGGAUCAAACAGGAUUAGAUACCCUGGUAGUCCACGCCGUAAACGAUGAGUGCUAAGUGUUAGGGGGUUUCCGCCCCUUAGUGCUGCAGCUAACGCAUUAAGCACUCCGCCUGGGGAGUACGACCGCAAGGUUGAAACUCAAAGGAAUUGACGGGGACCCGCACAAGCGGUGGAGCAUGUGGUUUAAUUCGAAGCAACGCGAAGAACCUUACCAAAUCUUGACAUCCUUUGACCGCUCUAGAGAUAGAGUCUUCCCCUUCGGGGGACAAAGUGACAGGUGGUGCAUGGUUGUCGUCAGCUCGUGUCGUGAGAUGUUGGGUUAAGUCCCGCAACGAGCGCAACCCUUAAGCUUAGUUGCCAUCAUUAAGUUGGGCACCUCUAGGUUGACUGCCGGGUGACAAACCGGAGGAAGGUGGGGAUGACGUCAAAUCAUCAUGCCCCUUAUGAUUUGGGCUACACACGUGCUACAAUGGAUAAUACAAAGGGCAGCGAAUCCGCGAGGCCAAGCAAAUCCCAUAAAAUUAUUCUCAGUUCGGAUUGUAGUCUGCAACUCGACUACAUGAAGCUGGAAUCGCUAGUAAUCGUAGAUCAGCAUGCUACGGUGAAUACGUUCCCGGGUCUUGUACACACCGCCCGUCACACCACGAGAGUUUGUAACACCCGAAGCCGGUGGAGUAACCUUUUAGGAGCUAGCCGUCGAAGUGACAGAGUU